rnacentral:rRNA from 1 species
GCAUUGGAGACAGGUGGUGCAUGGUUGUCGUCAGCUCGUGUCGUGAGAUGUUGGGUUAAGUCCCGCAACGAGCGCAACCCCUAUUUCCAGUAGCCAGCAAGAAAGAUGGGAACUCUGGAGAGACUGCCCGGGAUAACUGGGAGGAAGGCGGGGAUGACGUCAAAUCAUCAUGCCCCUUAUGAUCAGGGCUACACACGUGCUACAAUGGCGUAAACAAAGGGAAGCGAAGUGGUGACACGAAGCAAAUCCGAAAAACAACGUCUCAGUUCGGAUUGUAGUCUGCAACUCGACUACAUGAAGCUGGAAUUGCUAGUAAUCGCGAAUCAGAAUGUCGCGGUGAAUACGUUCCCGGGUCUUGUACACACCGCCCGUCACACCAUGGGAGUCGGAAAUGCCCGAAGUCAGUGACCCAACCGAGAGGAGGGAGCUGCCGAAGGUGGAGCCGGUAACUGGGGUGAAGUCGUAACAAGGUAGCCGUAUCGGAAGGUGCGGCUGGAUCACCUCCUU